rnacentral:rRNA from 1 species
AGAGUUUGAUCCUGGCUCAGGAUGAACGCUAGCGGCAGGCUUAAUACAUGCAAGUCGAGGGGGCAGCAAUGUCACCGGCGAACGGGUGCGUAACGCGUAUGCAACCUACCUACAUCAGGGGGAUAGCCCUAGGAAACUGGGAUUAACACCGCAUAAUACUAGACACGGCAUCGUGAUUAGUUGAAAUAUUUAUAGGAUGUAGAUGGGCAUGCGUAGGAUUAGCUAGUUGGUAAGGUAACGGCUUACCAAGGCUACGAUCCUUAGGGGCUCUGAGAGGAGUAUCCCCCACACUGGCACUGAGAUACGGGCCAGACUCCUACGGGAGGCAGCAGUAGGGAAUAUUGGGCAAUGGAGGCAACUCUGACCCAGCCAUGCCGCGUGCAGGAAGACGGUCCUCUGGAUUGUAAACUGCUUUUGAAUGGGAAGAAUGUGCUCCUUGCGAGGGGUAAUGACGGUACCAUUAGAAUAAGCCACGGCUAACUACGUGCCAGCAGCCGCGGUAAUACGUAGGUGGCGAGCGUUAUCCGGAUUUAUUGGGUUUAAAGGGUGCGUAGGCGGCUUAAUAAGUCGGUGGUUAAAAGUAGCAGCUUAACUGUUUUACAUGCCAUCGAUACUGUUGAGCUUGAGAUAUUUGGAGGCAGCUAGAAUUUCCGGUGUAGCGGUGAAAUGCAUAGAUACCGGAAGGAAUACCAAUUGCGAAGGCAGGUUGCUACGAAUAAACUGACGCUGAUGCACGAAAGCGUGGGGAUCAAACAGGAUUAGAUACCCUGGUAGUCCACGCCGUAAACGAUGAUUACUAGUUGUUGGGGUUUAAGCCUCAGUGACCAAGGGAAACCGAUAAGUAAUCCACCUGGGGAGUACGCCGGCAACGGUG